UGACCCUCCACUUUUCCACCAGUUUGUCUACCGGUGAAAAGGAGAAGCCAGCCAAGAACCAGCAGCUUCUGGCUACCUUGAUCAGAAGGUUGAUGAAGGCAAUGAAACAAAGAUGGAAAAACACAUCACACAGGUGUGACUGACUAGUUGCAGGAAAACAAGCUCAGGGCUCCCACUGAUUCUACAUUUUGGUGAGUUGUAUAAUUAUUUCAUUAUAUAU